rnacentral:misc_RNA from 1 species
GAGUACAUGGUUCUGCUCUUUCUAUCAAAGAAAUAAAUGUAUGCACAAGGCUAGUCACACACUAAUGGUUAAAGGAAAAUUAAGAUGGGCCAAACAUAUCUGUGCUACAUGUUGGCAAAAAGAUCAAAAGAAACUUGAGCAUCCAGAAAGUUCAACAGCUUGUCCCUAUUCAUCAGCUUGACAGUAUAGGUCCAUUGAAAUAAUUCAAGAAGAUAAAGUAGAAGAUAUUUUCCUUCCAAAAUUUUGCUACAAUACAAAUGUUGAGAAAAAUAUUCGGGACAAAAAAGAAAAUACAUCACACAUUUGUGAACAUACUAAAACUUGUAAAAUUUGUAGAGAAAUUAAAACAACCUCAGGUUUUCAGAAAGUAGAAGAAAAAGUUUUGGUACAUGAACAGGUUAAGAAAUCGGGUAAAUUUAACUAUGAACAAUGUCGAAUUAGAGUAAAUGAAAAAAUUAACACAGACUAUUUAAGAACAGUACUAAAUAAUUUUCAGUAUAAUGACAUGUUAGUGUGUGAUUUAUUAGAAUAUGGAUUUCCCAUAGGUUUUACAGGAAAUGAAAAUUUGCUUCCUGAAACAAAAGAGGUUUGGAUGUAUAAAAAUUACAAAGGCGCAAAAGAGUUUCCAGAGGUAAUUAAUAAAUAUUUAGUUAAGGAAAUGAAAAAUGACGCAAUUAUAGGACCUUUUAAACAAAACCCUUUUAGUCAAAAUUUGUUGAUUUCCCCUUUGAAUUCUGUACCCAAAAAAGAUAUUUCAGAUAGAAGAAUUAUUUUAGAUUUGAGCAGUAAUACCCAGUGUGCAGUUAAUGAAUUUGUACCAAAAGAUGAAUAUUUAGGAGAAGAAGUUGCUUUGAUUUAUCCAAAGAUAGAUGAUUUGGUAGCACUCAUAAAUUCAAAAGGUCAAGGUUCAUUAUUAUUUAAAAAAGAUCUAUCUAGAGCUUAUCGACAAAUAAGUAUCUGUCCUUCAAAUUACAAUCUUGUUGCUUACACUUGGAAAAAACACAUCUUUUGCGAUACUGUUUUGUCCAUGGGUUUGAGAAGUGCUGCAUAUAUCUGCCAAAGGGUCACAAAUGCCAUUUCAUUUAUUCUUCUAGGCAUGGGAAUUGCUGUACUUAAUUACUUAGAUGAUCUUGCAGGUGUUGAACGUAGAGAACAUGCAGAGUUUGCCUAUUUGACUUUAGGUAAAGUUCUGAAAAAUGCUGGUAUAGAGGAAGCUGAAAAGAAAAGUAGCCCACCAUCGGAAGUCAUGUCGUUUUUAGGAGUUUUAUUCAAUACUUUAUCAAUGACCAUGGAGAUAACCCCUGAAAGAUUGAAUGAAAUUAAAAAAUUGAUAGCUUUAUGGUUAAAUAAAAACAAGGCCACAUUGAAAGACAUUCAGUCAUUGUUAGGUAAACUCAACUUUGUUGGAGCUUGCGUUAAACCCAGUAGGAUUUUUAUUAAUCGUUUAUUAAACUGGUUACGUGAGCUACAUGGUACUAACAAUUCAGCUCUACAUGUUAUACCAGAGGAGGUUAAAAAAGAUCUUUUGUGGUGGAAUGAAUUCUUACCUAUUUAUAAUGGAGUUUCAUUAAUGAAUUUAGGGCCUUGGUCAGAUCCUGAUGAAAUUUUUUCCUCCGAUGCAUGUUUAGAUGGAAUAGGUGGAUUUUGGAAUGGACAUUAUUUUCAUUCUAUACUUCCAAGUAAAAUUAUAGAUCAAAGGUUACACAUAGGAGCACUAGAGAUGUUAGCACUUAUGGUGUGUUUACACAUCUGGGGGAAAAAUUUCAGACGUCGGCGAAUUGUAGUUCUCUGUGAUAAUUUAUCAGCCUGCAUAGCUAUUAAUACAGGGAAAUCAAAAUGCCAUUUUACCCAAAGUUGUUUAAGAGAGGUCAUAUUUGUGAUGGCAGUGAAUGAGUUUGAAUUAAGAGCUCAGCAUAUUACAUCCUCACAGAAUCGUUUGUCAGAUCACUUGUCAAGGUGGCAUAAAGAAGAAAGACAUAGAAUUGAAUUUGAAAAGCUUAAUGCAAAUUUAAGGCUUGAGGAAUAUCAGGUUAAAGAAUCAGAAUUUGAAUUUCAAAAGUUAUGGUAGUUAUCAAAUUAUGUCAUUUCAGAAAUGCAAAUACACCAGUUAAGAAGUGAUCUCAGACAUUCCAACAGACAAGCAUAUGCUGAAGGCUCUAAGAAGAAUUUAAGGAUUCAGUGGGAAUCCUUCUUAUUAUUCUGUACAUAUUUUCAGUUGUGUUUUUUACCAGUCUCAACAGAGACUUUACAGUUAUAUGCUCAGUUUUUGAGUAGGACAUUUAAAUCAGUAGAAUCAAUAAGAAAUUACAUAAGUGGAAUAAGAACUAUGCAUCUUCUGUUAGGAGUUAGUAUCGACCACAUAAAUAGCUUUAUUUUAAAUCUAUCGUUAAAAGGAAUUUCAAAAUUAAAGUUACAUCAGGUUAAACAAGCUGAACCAAUUACACCAGAUAUUUUGGAGCAAAUAUUUGCGGUACUUGAUUUUUCAGAAAAAGACAAUUUAGUGUAUUGGUGCCUGUUUCUGUUUGCCUUUUUCCUUCUAGCAAGAAAAUCUAAUUUAGUACCAACUUCAUUAAAAGAUAUGACAAGUAAACAAUUUUUACACAGAGGUGAUGUUGAACUUUCUGAUAAUAGGUUAAUAGUGAAAAUGAAAUGGUCAAAGACCAUUCAGAAAGGAGAAAGGGUUCUAAUUACUCCUUUGGUAAAAAUUAAUAAGUCAUGUUUAUGUCCAGUAUUGGCUUACCAAAAUAUGGUAACAGCGGUUCCAAGAUCUGAGGAAUCGCCCCUUUUUGUAUUAAAAAGAGGACAAAUUGUUACAUACAAUAUGUAUUUAAGAAAACUAAGAUCUUUAAUAAAACAGAUAGGACUACCUCCUAACGAUUUCUCCACACAUUCUUUCAGAAGAGGGUUUGCCACUCUAGCCUUCAGGUUAAACUUACCAUCUGACCUGAUUCAGUUAAUGGGGGAUUGGCAAUCCGAUGCUUACAAAAAAUAUUUACAAUAUUCGCUGUCUGAUAAAGUGAAAGUAGCUGAAUUAAUAAGCAGUAAGCUGUCCAGUAAAACCUAAGUUCAAGAAGGUACAUUAAUGAUUAAUGGUAUUAUUACAUAAACAUUCUCUGGUAAUUCGUCUUAACAGAGAAUUGUUUUGCUUUCAGUCGGAUGUUUAGACUGACUGGGCAAAAAGACAUGCAUAUGUCGACAAGAGAUAUUUAUGUAUUAAACUUUAAUCAUAGAAAUUUAGACAGAAUACAGAAAAGUAGUUAUUGUUGGAGAUUCCAUAAUAAAACAUUUGCCACCGUUGGAGGGAGUUGAAGUUUACGCAUUUCCAGGCGCUACCAUAGGGAAGUUACAACAUCUUGUUAACACUAUGAGAAUCCCUUUACAUCAAUUUAACUAUGUGAUUUUUCAUGUGGGUACCAAUAAUAUUGGUAAGGGUUUUUCGGUUUCACACAUGUGCUCUGAUAUGGUGAAUCUCAUAUCGCAGUGUCGUAAAAUAUCUCCUAGGAUUCAUAUCAUUAUUUCUUCUAUACUCCCUCGACCGGUGGACAAUGAAAUCACUGAUGAAAGAAUAAAACAAUUUAACGCUAAAGUUGAAAAAGUUCUAUCAGUUGAUCUUGGGGUAAAGUUCAUCAAAUCAUACAGGCCAUUUUGUUUUAAAGGAGAUAUCAAAAGAUAUCUGUUUGCCAGAUUAGACGGUGGUUUACAUUUGAACAAUGAAGGUUCAAAUCGUUUAGGACAUUUUUUUCAUCGAGUUAUCUCGACUCUCAAUUAUUAAAAGGAAAUCAUCAGUGAUUAUUUAUUAAUAUUAUAUUAAUACAGUAAAAUACUUACUUUUACAGUGACUAUUUAAAGAGAAGGUCACAGUUAUUAUCAGUUAAAGGUAGGACUUGGAAGUUAAAGUUAUGAAUGUUCUCGGUUGUUAAUUUGCUGUCAUUAAAUUAAUGAUAGGCAAAGUGAUAUAACAAUGUUAAAUUAGAAAUAGUAUCUAACUUAUAUAGCAACAUAAAGUGUAGGUUUUUUUUGAAUACUUUUUGCUUUCAUAUAAGAAAUUCAGUUAGGUUGUAGUAAAUAAAUGAUUUAGAUAUCACUUUGCCUUAUACAUGUUAUAACUUGCAAAUUGUUCAAUUAAUAACAGUUUUCUUCAUGUCAGUUUACUUUUUGUUGUACAAAUGCUUGUUUUAUUACUAUUCUUUUGCUUGGCAUAGUUUUAAUUUACAUUGCUAACAUUAUGAUGCUUUGUUUUGCUUAUAAUUUGUUGUACAUUUUGCUUGCAUUAUUAUUAUUCAUUUGCUUUGUAUUGUUCAUUUGCUUAACAAUCUCAUUUGACUUUAAGCGAUUAUAUGCUUUAGCUUUUUGCUUAUAUUUUGCUUUGGUUGGCAUAGGGUUGGCGGUUUGAAUUAUAUUGUGUGAUAUAUACAUUAAUUUACUCUGAAUUGAUACGACCAGUGUGAUGACAAUAAAUAUAUGAUAUAUUAAAUAAUAGUUUUAAUUAUUCUUUCAAAUUGGAGUUUAAUUGGACUAUUUUAAUCCUGAUUAAAAUAUGUAAUUAUACGAACAAUUUAUACUUCAUUCAGGUAAUAGUUAAUUUGGUGGUCUCUUACCUUGUUUAUAGAUUACAAAUUCAUCGAUUGGAUUAACUCAAUAUAUGUAUCAGAUUAUCUCAUUGGUUAUCGAUUCUUAUAUAUCGGAAAUUUCAAACUUCACCGGUUACUGUUUUUCUUUGUUUGGUCGUGUCAACACGUAAUUUUAAAACAACCCACCCUCCCUCCGCCAACUAAUUUGCUUAUAUGAUGAUGUCAUACCUUGUUUCUUUUACAUUUAUAUAUUAAUGAUACAUAUAUUUACAAUAAAUGUAUAAUGACAUUUGAUUAUAAAGGUACUAAGCAUUUAAUAUAAUUAUACCUUUAUCAUAUCAUAAAAUGAUGAAUAUUGUUGUAUUCCAUCAAGUCAUUUGUAUAUAUUUCUAAUUGAAAUAUUAUUUGAUAAUAUAUAUUACGUAUAUUUUGCAUAUUGUUUCAUAAAUUGUAAUGUUUAUACAUAGUUCACACUCUUGUUCUUGAAGUCAUUCUUAUAAAGUGUUUAUAAUGUACUUCACAACAUACUCAAUGGUUGAAUAUGAAUGAAAGAAUUAAGAUAUUAUUGCCUUAGAUUGUAUAGCGUUAGUAAUAGUAUGAAUUCACGUUAUAUAAAUUGUAAAGGUUUGAAUUAUAUUGUGUGAUAUAUACAUUAAUUUACUCUGAAUUGAUACGACCAGUGUGAUGACAAUAA